rnacentral:rRNA from 1 species
AGUAACGCGUGAGUAACCUGCCUCAUACAACGGGAUACCUGAGGGAAACUUCAGUUAAUACGGUAUAAGACCACACUGCCGCAUGGCAGAGGGGUAAAAGGAGCAAUCCGGUAUGAGAUGGACUCGCGUCGCAUUAGCUAGUUGGUGAGGUAACGGCCCACCAAGGCGACGAUGCGUAGCCGACCUGAGAGGGUGAUCGACCACAUUGGGACUGAGAUACGGCCCAGACUCCUACGGGAGGCAGCAG